rnacentral:rRNA from 1 species
UACGAAGGGGGCUAGCGUUGCUCGGAAUCACUGGGCGUAAAGCGCGCGUAGGCGGCCAGAUAAGUCCGGUGUGAAAGUCAAAGGCUCAACCUUUGAAUGCCGCUGGAAACUGUCUGGCUUGAGUCCGGGAGGGCGAGUGGAAUUCCUGGUGUAGCGGUGAAAUGCGCAGAUAUCAGGAGGAACACCAAUGGCGAAGGCAGCUCGCUGGAACGGUACUGACGCCUGGAGGCGACGGAAAGCGUGGGGAGCGAACAGG